rnacentral:snoRNA from 1 species
AACCCAUGGUGAGGGCACCUUCUCAAUAAAUCUUUAUACCUCUCCCAUCCAUCAUAUAGAGUCUCUACAUCCAUUUGCACGAAGAAAGAGAUAUCACUUCUCAGCUU